ensembl:snRNA U6 U6 spliceosomal RNA
GUGCUCACUUCAGCAGCACAUAUACUAAAACUGGAAUGUUACAGAGAAGAUUAGCAUAGACCCUGCACAAUGAUGACAUGCAAAUUUGUGAAGCAUUCCAUAUUUUC